rnacentral:rRNA from 1 species
AGGAAAUAGAUACCCGGGUAGUCCUAGCUGUAAACGAUGGGCACUUGGUGUUGGGGGUAUUGAGUCCCCCGGUGCCGGAGUUAAACAACGUUAAAGUGCCCCGCCUGGGGAGUACGGUCGCAAGACUGAAACUCAAAGGAAUUGACGGGGCCCGCACAAGCGGUGGAGCAUGUGGUUCAAUUCGACGCAACGCGAAGAACCUUACCGGGGCUUGAACAGCAACUGCAACUCGAUGAAAGUCGGGGUUCUCUUCGGAGACGGUUGUAGAGGUGCUGCAUGGCUGUCGUCAGCUCGUGUCGUGAGAUGUUGGGUUAAGUCCCCGCAACGAGCGCAACCCUUGCCCUUAGUUGCCAUCAGGUCAAGCUGGGCACCCUAA